ACAUACCGGUCGCGGACACAGAGAUGUGUCUUUCAGUUCGGCUGGACCGGAUACAGGUGCUGCACGGCUGUCGUCAGCUCGUGUCGUGAGAUGUUGGGUUAAGUCCCGCAACGAGCGCAACCCUCGCCCUUAGUUGCCAGCAUUUAGUUGGGCACUCUAAGGGGACUGCCGGUGAUAAGCCGAGAGGAAGUGGGGGAUGACGUCAAGUCCUCAUGGCCCUUACGGGGCUGGGCUACACACGUGCUACAAUGGUGGUGACAGUGGGCAGCGAGCACGCGAGUGUGAGCUAAUCUCCAAAAGCCAUCUCAGUUCGGAUUGCACUCUGCAACCCGAGUGCAUGAAGUUGGAAUCGCUAGUAAUCGCGGAUCAGCAUGCCGCGGUGAAUACGUUCCCGGGCCUU
rnacentral:rRNA from 1 species